rnacentral:lncRNA from 1 species
CAAUAUUAACAUCAGGGCCUUCAAUGUCCACCUUGGGUCCUGAGAUGUCAACGUCAGCCUUAGGCAAGCUCACAUCUGGGACUUCAACAUCCACCUUGGGUCCUGAGACAUCAACGUCAGCCUUGGGCAAGUUCACAUCCACUUCUGGGCCCUCUCCUUUGAAGCCAGGCAUGCUGAACUUGGGCAUUUUCAUCUUAGGCAUCUUCAGGUGCCAGUCUGGGCCAUGAACAUCCACAUCUGGGGCAUCAAUGUCCAUUUUGGGUCCUUUGAUGUCAACAUCUGGCACUUUCAUUUCACCUUCUACCUUGGGCACAGACACAUCCAUAUCCCCUUUGACUUUGGGGCCUUUCAGGUGUAAGUCCACAUCAGGCAUGGAGAUCUUGGGGGCCUUGAAGUGCAUCUCAGGCAUCUUAAACUUGGGCCCUUUCAACUUUGCAUCAGGACACUCCAGAUCAACAUCGGGCACCUCCGCUUCCACAAA